CCUUCGACGGCUCAGUUGGUAGAGCGGAGGACCGUAGAUCCUUGGGUCGCCGGUUCGAUUCCGGCUCGAAGGA